UGCAGUCGACGGCAGCACGGGUGCUUGCACCUGGUGGCGAGUGGCGAACGGGUGAGUAAUACAUCGGAACAUGUCCUGUAGUGGGGGAUAGCCCGGCGAAAGCCGGAUUAAUACCGCAUACGAUCUACGGAUGAAAGCGGGGGACCUUCGGGCCUCGCGCUAUAGGGUUGGCCGAUGGCUGAUUAGCUAGUUGGUGGGGUAAAGGCCUACCAAGGCGACGAUCAGUAGCUGGUCUGAGAGGACGACCAGCCACACUGGGACUGAGACACGGCCCACACUCCUACGGGAGGCAGCAGUGGGGAAUUUUGGACAGUGGGCGAAAGCCUGAUCCAGCAGUGCCGCGUGUGUGAAGAAGGCCUUCGGGUUGUAAAGCACUUUUGUCCGGAAAGAAAUCCUUGGCUCUAAUACAGUCGGGGGAUGACGGUACCGGAAGAAUAAGCACCGGCUAACUACGUGCCAGCAGCCGCGGUAAUACGUAGGGUGCGAGCGUUAAUCGGAAUUACUGGGCGUAAAGCGUGCGCAGGCGGUUUGCUAAGACCGAUGUGAAAUCCCCGGGCUCAACCUGGGAACUGCAUUGGUGACUGGCAGGCUAGAGUAUGGCAGAGGGGGGUAGAAUUCCACGUGUAGCAGUGAAAUGCGUAGAGAUGUGGAGGAAUACCGAUGGCGAAGGCAGCCCCCUGGGCCAAUACUGACGCUCAUGCAAGAAAGCGUGGGGAGCAAACAGGAUUAGAUCCCUGGUAGUCCACGCCCUAAAACGAUGUCAACUAGUUGUUGGGGAUUCAUUUCCUUAGUAACGUAGCUAACGCGUGAAGUUGACCGCCUGGAGAGUACGGUCGCAAGAUUAAAACUCAAAGGAAUUGACGGGGACCGCACAGCGGUGGAUGAUGUGGAUUAUUCGAUGCAACGCGAAAAACCUUACCUACCCUUGACAUGGUCGGAAUCCUGCUGAGAGGUGGGAGUGCUCAAAAGAGAACCGCGCACAGGUGCUGCAUGGCUGUCGUCAGCUCGUGUCGUGAGAUGUGGGUUAAGUCCCGCAACGAGCGCAACCCUUGUCUUUAGUUGAUACGCAAGAGCACUCUAAGGAGACUGCCGGUGACAAACCGGAGGAAGGUGGGGAUGACGUCAAGUCCUCAUGGCCCUUAUGGGUAGGGCUUCACACGUCAUACAAUGGUCGGAACAGAGGGUUGCCAACCCGCGAGGGGGAGCUAAUCCCAGAAAACCGAUCGUAGUCCGGAUUGCACUCUGCAACUCGAGUGCAUGAAGCUGGAAUC
rnacentral:rRNA from 1 species